rnacentral:rRNA from 1 species
CAGAGGGUGCGAGCGUUAAUCGGAAUUACUGGGCGUAAAGCGUGCGUAGACGGUUUAUUUAAGUCGGGUGUGAAAGCCCCGGGCUCAACCUGGGAAUUGCAUUCGAGACUGAAUAGCUAGGGUACGGUAGAGGGAAGUGGAAUUUCCGGUGUAGCGGUGAAAUGCGUAGAUAUCGGAAGGAACAUCAGUGGCGAAAGCGACUUCCUGGACCAGUACCGACGUUCAGGCACGAAAGCGCGGGGAGCAAACAGGAUUAGAUACCCUGGUAGUCCACGCCAUAAACGAUGAGGACUAGACGUUGGAGGGGUAAGCCUUUCAGUGUCGUAGCUAACGCGCUAAGUCCUCCGCCUGGGGAGUACGGCCGCAAGGUUG